rnacentral:rRNA from 1 species
GGCGUGUACUGCUUGGCUGGGCCUUACUUCUUGGUGAGCCGGCGUGCCCUUUAUUGGUGUGCGUCGGGGAACCAGGACUUUUACCUUGAGAAAAUUAGAGUGUUCAAAGCAGGCCUAUGCCUGAAUACAUUAGCAUGGAAUAUAGAUAGGACGUGCGGUUCUAUUUUGUUGGUUUCUAGAGUCGCAGUAAUGAUUAUAGGGACAGUUGGGGGCAUUGGUAUUGAGUCGCUAGAGGUGAAAUUCUUGGAUUGACUCAAGACCGACUAUUGCGAAAGCAUUUGCCAAGGAUGUUUUCAUUAAUCAAGAACGAAAGUUAGAGGUUCGAAGGCGAUCAGAUACCGCCCUAGUUCUAACCAUAAACGAUGCCAGCUAGCGAUCCGCCGAAGUUCCUCCGAUGACUCGGCGGGCAGCUUCCGGGAAACCAAAGCUUUUGGGUUCCGGGGGAAGUAUGGUUGCAAAGCUGAAACUUAAAGGAAUUGACGGAAGGGCACCACCAGGAGUGGAGCCUGCGGCUUAAUUUGACUCAACACGGGAAACCUCACCAGGCCCAGACACCGGAAGGAUUGACAGAUUGAUAGCUCUUUCUUGAUUCGGUGGGUGGUGGUGCAUGGCCGUUCUUAGUUGGUGGAGCGAUUUGUCUGGUUAAUUCCGAUAACGAACGAGACUCUAGCCUGCUAAAUAGGCGUACCUUAUGGUAUCGCGAAGGCCCCCGGCUUCGGCCGGUGGGUUUUUACUACCAACGUACAAACAAAU